rnacentral:rRNA from 1 species
UACAGAGGGGGCAAGCGUUGUUCGGAAUUACUGGGCGUAAAGGGCGCGUAGGCGGCCUUCUAAGUCGAACGUGAAAUCCCCGGGCUCAACCCGGGAACUGCGUCCGAUACUGGAAGGCUUGAAUCCGGGAGAGGGAUGCGGAAUUCCAGGUGUAGCGGUGAAAUGCGUAGAUAUCUGGAGGAACACCGGUGGCGAAGGCGGCAUCCUGGACCGGUAUUGACGCUGAGGAGCGAAAGCCAGGGGAGCAAACGGGAUAGAAACCCCUG